GAUGUGUCUCUGCAGUGUGGAGUCGCUGACGGUGAAGGCUUCCUCAGUCUCUGGCAGGUCAACCAAACCUCCUCCAAUCCUAAACCCUAUCUGAGUUGGCAGUGCCAUUCUAAGGCAUGUGGUGAUUUUGCCUUCAUCACGUCCUCCAGUCUCAUUGCCACGUGCCGGCCAGUCCAACGACAGCAGAAAUGUAUGCCUGUGGGACACCCUGGUAUCACCUAGCAACACCAUGGUGCAUGCCUUCCCCUGCCAUGACAACGGGGCGACGGUGCUGCAGUACGCCCCAAGCAGCAGCUCCUCAUCUCAGGGGGCAGAAAGGGCUUCGUGUGCGUGUUCGACAUCCGUCAGAGGCAGCUGCUCGACACCUUCCAGGCCCACGACUCGGCCAUCAAGGCCCUGGCCCUGGACGCCUCGGAGGACUUCUUCGUGACCGGAUCCGCGGAGGGCAACAUGA